rnacentral:lncRNA from 1 species
GUUAAUUGGGUCUAGAAAGUUUGGCUCGUCUGUAGUAGGGGAGAAGAUGAUAGCGAAUUUCUUAAAGGCAGCUUUGUCUAGGAAUUGAAGGAAUAAGAGGCAGAAGACGCCAAAAGGAUAUUUCCUGAGAGAUUUUUUUCAACAAGGAGGAGGAAAUGGACCAUGAACGCAAUCGAGGGAUUGGGAGAACUUACGUACUGGUUUAGUAAUUUGGAGACAAAUAUAUAUUAAUAGUUAACAGGUGGUUGAAAUUUCUGGGGAGCAACAAAGGAUAAUAGGGAAAUUGGGAGAGAGGAAUGAAUGUUAGGUUAAUUUUUUUAUUUCGGGUGUAUUUAGUUGAGGGGAAUAAUGGUAGGCAUUUAGUUAAUUAAAAGCCAGCUGAUUAAAACCCUGAGGAAUAGGUACUAAGCUCAAGGUAGAAGAGGCUGAAAAACUAGAGGAACUCAGUUGCAGAGAGGCAUUAACAGUAUUGAAAACCUGGGAAUAAAUGUAUCAGGAAGAAUAGGAGACCUAAGGUUUACUCCCCUUCUCCGUUUGUUAUAUAACCAAGAAAAAGAACCAGAAAGGGAAUUUUUGUCACUGAAGGACAGGAGCCAGUCACCACUUGGCAGGAGGGGUUUCUAGUAGAUACAGAAAAUUCAUUUGCAAAUUGCCCGACAAAGGUAAAAAGAUCUCAGACACCAUUGCCAAACUGAAAGCUGCCAUUUCAGAACGUGAAGAGGUCAGAGGGAGAACUGAACUAUUUCAUCCUGUUAGUGUAGACUGUAAGCUAAGGCAUAA